rnacentral:rRNA from 1 species
UGGGGAAUAUUGGACAAUGGGCGAAAGCCUGAUCCAGCCAUGCCGCGUGUGUGAAGAAGGUCUUCGGAUUGUAAAGCACUUUAAGUUGGGAGGAAGGGCAUUAACCUAAUACGUUAGUGUUUUGACGUUACCGACAGAAUAAGCACCGGCUGACUCUGUGCCAGCAGCCGCGGUAAUACAGAGGGUGCAAGCGUUAAUCGGAAUUACUGGGCGUAAAGCGCGCGUAGGUGGUUUGUUAAGUUGGAUGUGAAAUCCCCGGGCUCAACCUGGGAACUGCAUUCAAAACUGACUGACUAGAGUAUGGUAGAGGGUGGUGGAAUUUCCUGUGUAGCGGUGAAAUGCGUAGAUAUAGGAAGGAACACCAGUGGCGAAGGCGACCACCUGGACUAAUACUGACACUGAGGUGCGAAAGCGUGGGGAGCAAACA